UUUUGCUCUUAACACAUGGGCAGUGUCACAUCCAACUUUACAAAAACGCUUUGUGUCUGUUUCUUUAAAUAAUCUUAAAAAUAGGAUCAUAAACAAACAAACAAACAAACAAACAAACAAACAAACAAACAAACAAACAAACAAAGAAAAGAAAUGUCAUGAACUGAUCCAGCAUAAUUCCAAAAUGUUUUCAGCCUUUAAUUCUUCCAGAACUGUGAAUAGUCUCUGUUUUAUAGUAAUAGAAGAAAAAAUCACAUUGGUUUUCAGAACUUCACUAUACUGAAACAAAACAUUCAUUUCUGCAGCAGUUGAUGAUUUUUGUUUUGUGAAACCGUUUGUCUCCUGUGGUCCAUGUAAUAGUGUUUGCUCAGUUAGAAGCUGUCAGGUUUUACAUCAGUCUCUCUAGGAGCAGAAAAAGGUGCUGAUGGGGGACAGUCUGAUGCUCACCUGAUCACAUCCUUGUCCUGUUUUAUUGCCACGUUUUAGUCGUUACUUCGUCUGGCACAAAAAACUCUUGAGUAGCUCAUUUUACUAAUUGAACCCUCAGAUCAUUAUCAAAGCACUAUUUACUGCAGUGCAACAUUUUAAUUAGAUUAUAGUCUCUAUUUAACCCAUCAUGGACUCUUUGAAGCUCCGUGUUUUUAGUGUUAAGUCCUCAGAUGCACGGUUGGAAACAAAUGACUGAGCCCUUUUUGAUUUAAUGAGAAAUGCUGCCCAUCCAGACUGAGUCCUUUGCAUCUUUUUAGGUCCCACCUACUCUUUUUUUCCCCAUUGAAAUCCAGUUAAUUGAAGGAGUCUUUCACCGCCAUACAUGAAGGUGGACAAAUUAGCAUCCCUUUUUACCCACAGGGAAGCCAAGGCAAAGCAGGCUGCUUUGAUGUGAGAAGCACGC